AACCUUCGAUCCCUCAGACGGCACUGUAUCAAAAACCGACAUCAAUCUCUAAAGGAUAUCACCACAUGGGCUCAGGAACACUUCAGAAAAACACUGUCACUAAAUUCAGUGCGUCGGUACAUCUGUAAGUGCAAGUCAAAGCUCUACUAUGCAAAGCGAAAGCCAGUUAUCAACAACACCCUGGGCCCGAGAUCAUCUAAGAUGGACUGAUACAAAGUGGAAAAGUGUUCUGUGGUCUGACGAGUCCACAUUUCAAAUUAUUUUUGGAAAUAUUCGACAUUGUGUCAUCCGGACCAAAGGGGAAGCGAACCAUCCAGACUGUAAUCGACGCAAAGUUCAAAAGCCAGCAUCUGUGAUGGUAUGGGGGUGCAUUAGUGCCCAAGGCAUGGGUAACUUACACAUCUGUGAAGGCACCAUUAAUGCUGAAAGGUACAUACAGGUUUUGGAACAACCUAUGCUGCCAUCUAAGCGCCGUCUUUUUCAUGGACGCCCCUGCUUAUUUCAGCAAGACAAUGCCAAGCCACAUUCAGCACAUGAUACAACAGCGUGGCUUUGUAAAAAAAGAUUGCAGGUACUUUCCUGGCCCGCCUGCAGUCCAGACCUGUCUCCCAUUGCAAAUGUGUGUGGCGCAUUAUGAAGCGUAAAAUACGACAGCAGAGACCCCUGACUGUUGAAUGACUGAAGCUCUACAUAAUAUAAGAAUGGCAAAUAAUUCCACUUUCAAAGCUUCAACAUUUAGUUUCCUCAGUUCCCAAAAGUUUUUUGAGUGUUGUUAAAAGAAAAGGUGAUGUAACACAUAGUGAACAUGCCCUUUCCCAACUACUUUGGCAUGUGUUGCAGCCAUGAAAUUCUAAGUUAAUUAUUAUUUGCCCAAAAAAAAAAAAGUUUAUGAGUUUGAACAUCAAAUAUCUUGUCUUUGUAGUGCAUUCAAUUGAAUAUGGGUUGAAAAGCAUUUGCAAAUCUUUGUAUUCCGUUUAUAUUUACAUCUAACAGAAUUUCCCAACUCAUAUGGAAACAGGGUUUGUAUAUAUCAUUAGAAAUGUUAUUAAAAGUGCGUAGUAGGUAUACAUUAUUUACCCACUGAACUUUUUUCACAGGACUCAUUUCCGCCAUCGUGAGCCACAAAUGAGGAGAUGCUGCUCCGUUAUUGAUUUAAGUAAAGUCUGAACGUCAUUAAGACAGGUAGAGCCAUCUUUUGACACUUCUUCCACUCCCAUCCUUGCACGCUACACCGCUACAACAAAGAUGACGGGAAAAGACGCUGUCGAAGUUGAGGCACGUAAAUAAGACCGCCCGAAAAACGGCCUUGUAUGCCUUUUGUAUGAAAAUAGACCUGAAUAGACCCGCUCAUCGACAAUGUGCAUUAUAGUCCGAAAAAUACAGUAAAAGAGCUUGUAGGGUCAAAAUAAAUUGCAUAAUUAAUCCAAGUUUGUACAUGAUUAAUGCAACAUUUUUUGUGAUUAAUCACAUGAGUUAACUCGUUCAUUGGAAAAGCAAAUAUGCUCAUAGUGCACAUUUCCAACCGGACAUCGACUGAUCUAUACUAUAUAUGAAUCUAUCCAGAGGCUUGCCAAAAUAUAAAUUCAUAUCUCUAAAGUUAGUCGGUUAUCAAUUUGUACUGACUAAUUUUUUCAGCCCUAAUUACAUUUGUUUGCUCUUUUAUUGUACUUAUGUUUCUUUUGUUUUUGUUGUAUCACGCACACACGCUGUGCUUCCUGCUGCUGCAAGUGCACGCAGAAGAUCCACUGCAAACACCAGAGACUCCCACACACUCAUCAAGCGGACCACGCCCACUCUCCGCUGCAGCCGACGGCAGGCCACACCUGACGCUAAUGAAGGAGGGCAGUAUAAAGAUGGCCGACGCUGACUCCUCGAUGUCGUGUUUGUGUCACCACCGCUGCUUCCCUUCUGGCCUCCCUUUGUCUUCCUGGAUCCCCCGACCUCGUUUAUGGACUUUGGACUCGCUCUCCUGCCUCGGGCCCCUCGCUUGGAUUUUGGACUCCCUCUGGCUUGUUCCUUCUCGGAUUUGGACACCCUUUUCAACCAACACGCACCUCAACAAACCUUACGGUAUCUACAUAUGAUAAAUUUCACACAUAGUCUUCCAUGCAAACACAUAGUAGCAUACACACUCCAUGUAAUCAUCAAGUCUUCAAAUAAACUUGUUGAACUUGA